UGGGGAAUUUUGGACAAUGGGGGAAACCCUGAUCCAGCCAUCCCGCGUGUGCGAUGAAGGCCUUCGGGUUGUAAAGCACUUUUGGCAGGAAAGAAACGUCGCGGGUUAAUACCCCGCGAAACUGACGGUACCUGCAGAAUAAGCACCGGCUAACUACGUGCCAGCAGCCGCGGUAAUACGUAUGGUGCAAGCGUUAAUCGGAAUUACUGGGCGUAAAGCGUGCGCAGGCGGUUCGGAAAGAAAGAUGUGAAAUCCCAGAGCUUAACUUUGGAACUGCAUUUUUAACUACCGGGCUAGAGUGUGUCAGAGGGAGGUGGAAUUCCGCGUGUAGCAGUGAAAUGCGUAGAUAUGCGGAGGAACACCGAUGGCGAAGGCAGCCUCCUGGGAUAACACUGACGCUCAUGCACGAAAGCGUGGGGAGCAAACAGGAUUAGAUACCCUGGUAGUCCACGCCCUAAACGAUGUCAACUAGCUGUUGGGGCCUUCGGGCCUUGGUAGCGCAGCUAACGCGUGAAGUUGACCGCCUGGGGAGUACGGUCGCAAGAUUAAAACUUAAAUGAAUUG
rnacentral:rRNA from 1 species